rnacentral:rRNA from 1 species
AUUGAACGCUGGCGGAAUGCUUUACACAUGCAAGUCGAACGGUAGAGGGGGGCAACCCCUUGAGAGUGGCGAACGGGUGAGUAAUAUAUCGGAACGUGCCCAGUCGUGGGGAUAACGUAGCGAAAGUUACGCUAAUACCGCAUACGAUCUAAGGAUGAAAGCGGGGGAUCGCAAGACCUCGCGCGAUUGGAGCGGCCGAUAUCAGAUUAGGUAGUUGGUGAGGUAAAGGCUCACCAAGCCAACGAUCUGUAGCUGGUCUGAGAGGACGACCAGCCACACUGGAACUGAGACACGGUCCAGACUCCUACGGGAGGCAGCAGUGGGGAAUAUUGGUCAAUGGAGGAAACUCUGAACCAGCCAUCCCGCGUGAAGGAUGAAGGGGCUCUGCCUUGUAAACUUCUUUUGUCUGGGGCGAAAAAGCCUGAUUAUCAGGAACUGACGGUACCAGAAGAAUAAGCACCGGCUAACUCCGUGCCAGCAGCCGCGGUAAUGUGUG